GACAGAGGGUGCAAACGUUGUUCGGAAUUACUGGGCGUAAAGCGCGUGUAGGCGGCUAAGUAAGUCGGGCGUGAAAUCCCACGGCUCAACCGUGGAAGUGCACUCGAAACUGCGUAGCUAGAGUCCUGGAGAGGAAGGUGGAAUGCUUGGUGUAGAGGUGAAAUUCGUAGAUAUCAAGCGGAACACCGGUGGCGAAGGCGGCCUUACUGGACAGUGACUGACGCUGAGACGCGAAAGCGUGGGGAGCGAACAGG
rnacentral:rRNA from 1 species